GACGAACGCUGGCGGCGUGCUUAACACAUGCCAGUCGAACGGAAAGGCCCUGCUUGCCGGGUACUCGAGUGGCGAACGGGUGAGUAACAUGUGGGUGAUCUGCCCUGCACUUCGGGAUAAGCUUGGGAAACUGGGUCUAAUACCGGAUAGGAGCCAUCUUUAGUGUGGUGGUUGGAAAGUUUUUUCGGUGUAGGAUGAGCUCGCGGCCUAUCAGCUUGUUGGUGGGGUAAUGGCCUACCAAGGCGGCGACGGGUAGCCGGCCUGAGAGGGUGUACGGCCACAUUGGGACUGAGAUACGGCCCAGACUCCUACGGGAGGCAGCAGUGGGGAAUAUUGCACAAUGGGCGCAAGCCUGAUGCAGCGACGCCGCGUGGGGGAUGAAGGCCUUCGGGUUGUAAACUCCUUUCGCUAGGGACGAAGCUUUGUUGUGACGGUACCUAGAUAAGAAGCACCGGCUAACUACGUG
rnacentral:rRNA from 1 species